UAGUAGAGGCACACGUUUGAACGAAAUAGAACACUGAGCGGAUGAGAAGCAAAAAUAUAGGCAUACCUAUUAGUUAAAAAUUGAGAGAAUCGGAGAUUCGAUAAUGGCGAAUCAGAUUCAUCUUGAAGCAGUACCUCUUCUUGUAGUCAUUCUUAUCGGUGCCCAUGUCCUCGCUUUGGUGUACUGGAUUUAUCGGCUAGCAAAUCAGAAGCAACCCAUGAGGCUUAAAAAGCACUAGGAUUCACUUCGUUUUUUAACUCCUAUGUCUCUCUUUUUUCCUGUUGAAAUUUUAUGUUUGACGACGGUUGAAUUAAUUGACAUUUUCAGUUGAAUGGAGCAA